UUAGUGUUCCAGGGAGAUGAAUUUAAACUGCAUGGAGAUGAGCUUUCCCUCAAUCGUGACCAGUCUCCCAGUCUCUGCUGCUGAACAACAUCCCCACAGCAUAAUGCUGCCCCCACCAUGCUUCAAUGUUCGGAGGAUAUUAGGUUGACUCCAAUCAAGGUGUAGAAACCUGUCCGUGAGGAUCAAGAGAAAUGGGAGGCACCUGAGUCAAAUUUCAAGUGUUGUUGCAAAGCAUCUGAAUACUAGUACCAAUGUGAUAUUUUAGUUUUUUCUUUUUAAUAAAUUUACAGACAUU